GACGAACGCUGGCGGCGUGCUUAACACAUGCAAGUCGUGCGGUAAGGCCCUUUCGGGGGUACACGAGCGGCGAACGGGUGCGUAACACGUGCGCAACCUGCCCUUCCCUUUGGGAUAACUGCCGGAAACGGUGGCUAAUACCGGAUAUGACUUCCUCACGCAUGUGGGGUGGUUGAAAGCCUUCGGGUGGUGGGGGAUGGGCUCGCGGUCUAUCAGCUUGUUGGUGGGGUGAUGGCCUACCAAGGCUUCGACGGGUAGCCGGCCUGAGAGGGUGACCGGCCACACUGGGACUCAGACACGGCCCAGACUCCUACGGGAGGCAGCAGUGGGGAAUAUUGGACAAUGGGCGAAAGCCUGAUACAGCAACGCCGCGUGAGGGAUGACGGCCUUCGGGUUGUAAACCUCUGUCGCCGGAGACGAAGCGAGAGUGACGGUAGCAGGUAAAGAAGCACCGGCCAACUACGUG
rnacentral:rRNA from 1 species